UUUCUCCCACUCCCACUUUUUUCCCAUCCAACGGCUCGCUAUGCUUACAUCCAUUCACAGCCGUUAAAUCUAACACGCGUCCUCAUCAGUCUACCACCCCAUGGAUUUCGAAUAUUCCGAAAACAUCCCGUUCUCCAGUUCCAACCGCUUAUCUCGCUUUCACUUUACCGUAAAUCAAACUCUCCUUUUUAUCUUUGGAUUGCAAAAUUAAUUAAAUUACGGAUAUGUUGAGGAAAAUAUAAUGUAAGGGGACCAAAAUACCCCUGCUUUAUUUCCUUUCUUUAUAUAUUUACCAACGACGUCCGGAAACCGGCAGCCAGUUGUAUAGCAGAGAGUGAAGUAACUCAAAGUAAUGAGCGAAGCAUUGGGAAGAGACUACCAAAUCUGCGACGAGAUCGGCCGGGGACGCUUCGGAACCGUAUUCAAGUGCGAUUCCCGCUCCACUGGCGAAUCCUUCGCCGUCAAAUCCAUCGAUAAAUCCCUCACCGCCGGCGAAUCCCUGCACCCACAGGAUCCCUCACCGCCGGCGAUUCCCUGGACGCCCAGUGCCUCUUGACGGAGCCCAAGAUUCUGAGCCUCCUCUCCCCUCACCCAAACCUAAUUCAGCUCCACCGCACCUACGAGGACGAUUCCCAUCUCCACAUGGUAAUGGAUCUCUGUCCCAAUUCCGAUCUCCACACCCUAAUCGUCGCCAACGGCGGCGCACUCCCGGAGGCGGAAGCCAGGUCGAUCUUCGCCCAAUUGAUGUCUGCGAUCUCGCACUGCCAUUGGAACGGCGUGGUCCACAGGGAUGUGAAGCCGGACAAUGUUCUUUUCGAUUCUUGGAAUUCCGUGAAAUUGGCCGACUUCGGUUCGGCGGAGGUGGUGGCGACGACGGAGGAGGCGGCGGUGACGGGAGUCGUCGGGACGCCGUAUUACGUGGCGCCGGAGGUUCUGUUGGGGAGGGAGUACGGUGAGAAAGUGGACGUGUGGAGCGCAGGGGUGGUUCUGUACAUAAUGCUCGCCGGUUUUCCUCCGUUUUACGGGGAGACGGCGGUGGAGAUCUUCGACGCGGUGUUGAGAGGGAAUCUGAGGUUUCCGACUAGGGUUUUCCAGUCGGUGUCUCCCGGUGCGAAGGAUCUGGUGAGGAGGAUGCUGUGUAAAGAUGUGUCGAGAAGAUUCUCUGCUGAGCAAGUGCUUAGUAAGUUUUGCAAACUCUGUUUUUGAUUCUUUAUUUUAUAUAUUCUCAAAAUCAUGUUGAGGAUGGAGUUUGAUUGAUGCGUACUAUGUGUUGGUUGUUGCAGGGCAUCCAUGGGUGAAAAGUGGUGGUGGAACCACCUGAAGGAGCUGGAUUGACUGCUUUGAUGUAGAUAAGGAUGAAUCAAACUGGAAGAGGAGCCUUUUGUGAUGUAUCUGCUAUAAGUUUGGGUUUGGUAAUUAAACAGAGAGAAGAAGCAACUUUUAUUCUGCUUUUCUCAUUUCUGGGUUUUGAUUUCGUGAGCCACUAGUAGCAGUAGUAGUAGUAAUAGAGAGAGAGAUACGGCCUGCCUCCACUGAUCACUGGUGUUGUUAUAGAGGGGGUGCAAGUGGAGAAGAAGCUGCUGCUGAUGAACUACUUUUUAGUGUAUGUACUACGAAUAUAUAAUAUGGCCCGCCUGUAUAAUACAAGUAGUAAAAUUGCAUAAAGCUUUUGUUUUUAUGAAUUUCGUCCUUCAACCCAUAUGGUGGUGAAUGAAUGCUUAUUAUUUGGGACGUUUCAUGUUAUCCAAUUCCAAUAUGUUAAUGGAAAAUUGUUUCCCAAUAUGCUUGGAUCUUCGAUUUUGCAGCUCUGCUUUGAUUCAGUUUUAGCUAUAGAUAUAACGGUUUACAGAAACCGUAUAGUUUUUGAGAUGUCGUCGGCAUUGAUUCUGUUGCCAUUUGCUGUUUUGUUCUUGUUGAUAUGGGAUAAUCUUAAACAAAUAGAAAGAAAGAAUUCAUUGUCAUCCGUUUUGGACUCAAUUGGAUUUUUGAUUGAUUGAUUUGAGUGAUAUUAUUAACAAAGAUAUCAGUGUUGAUUCUGCCGCUACUGUAACUAAUUAACCGUUUUAAAACUAAACAUGAUUGAUUGGGUUGGUUCUCAUUUUUAAAUACUAAAUAGUAAUCAAUCUUCCGUCAUAAGAAAUAUUAUAGUAAUCAACAAAAUUCACAAUCUAAAGAGUGCUUCCUUCCAACAAUCCGUAUAGACAAUCCAGAACCAUUAAUCAACUUGUUUCCCGUUGGUUGAUUUGUUCUUAAUCUUACUUUGUUGAACAAAUAGACUCGCUGAUGUUGAAUUUCCUCAACACUUUGGUCUUUGGCGCCGAGUCCUUCCAGAUCCAAACUUAUUCUUCCACCAAACCCCCAAAUGGAACUUUCUAGCGUUAACCUUAACCCACCGAAUACGAUUUAUUUUACAAGAUAUCAAUUUUAUAAUUGAAGGGUUGGAAUCUUCCACAAUGAAGAAGGUCAAGAAGACUUGCAAGAUCAGGACAUGUGGAUGAUCAGCAAAUUGAGGGACUCCAAUGGUUCAAGCCAAGCCACAGUAAACAAAUGUGAAAGACCCAAUAGAGAUGCAAAAAAUACUAUAAAACUGUGGAGCUUUGGAUGUUGCACAAGGAAGAAGAUAUUUCUUGAAAGAGCAAUUGUAUAUAUAUGGAUGGAUAUACAGAGUACUCUAGUAGAGAGUUAUUGGGUAGUUAAGUGAGACCGUGGGGGGUUGUCAUCUGCAUAAACUUAACCUACAUCACUGUUACUCUCCUCAUCUUCAGUUAUCCCCUCCACGAUAAGGUACUGAAGCAUUAUCGAGUAUUUUGCAGUCCGCCUCCUCCCUGGAUUUCUCCCGCUCGUUGACACUCCACUGCUUGUAAGAAGAAACGAUCCUUUGCCGUCAGCUUCAAGAGGACAAACACCCACAUCAUCAGCUUUUAUAUAGCAUACACAUUUUAUGAUUAAUCAAGCGAGGAACAAAAAGACUAUACCUUUAACGGUUAAGAAACAUGAUAUCCAACGUUUGUAGAUGAAGAGCAAUCUUGGAGAUUCUCCAUGGUGCGUAUCAGAGAGCAAAAACUCACAUUUCCCCUUCUCACUAUCAUCCAUCCCAUUCAUAAAAAUCCAAGUUAGUAAACAACAUAUAUACCUAGACAUUCAAGAAGAGUAUCUAUCCAACAGCUGCAAACUUCACUAACUUAGCAUGUCCUACUGCGUUGUGGCACAGAGCCAAUAUCCGAACCAUUUCCAAGUCUCUUCCCCGAGGAUUGUUGUAUCUCUCUUUGCAAACCCUUUCAGAAGAACAACAACUCAAGCAAUCGUUAGUUGCUUGAGGAAAACAGGGAUUCAAGCAGGGAGGAAAAAUUACUGUGAUUUGUUUUCACCUUUCAUCAAAGAAACCUCCAAAGUCAUCAAUAACGACAGCAGCAGGAAAUGUGUCGAGCAGGUGGAAUGCAGCCAUGUACUUCUUAAUUCCUUGAUCAUCUUCCACAUACCUUUUUGGCGGAGGAAUACAUUAAGACAAAAACAAACAGCAAAGACUAUGUUAAAAGAGUGAACGGUGCUUACUUACUUCAUUUGAAUUCGUUCAAAUACAUCGGAAGAAGGAUCCACGCCCUACGAAUUUCAAAAUUAUCAUGAACAGAUGAGAAACACAGCCCACUAAUAGUAGUAAACCAUAAAUUGGUUAUGAAAAUGGGGGGAAGAUGAAAGUACUUGAGAUAGAUAAGGAGGGUUGGCUUCCAUACGGUGGCGGCUGCAAAUGAAGACCACUUUGCGGUUUCUAUUCAAGGCGGUGUUGAUUGCAUACUGGAAGAGUAGAGAUGUUUUCCCGCUGCCAUUGAUUCUCUGGUGAAUUUCUUUCUCUACUGGGAAUUAGGAAAAAACAGAAGCAGAGAGAGGGGUGUAUGGGAAAUGCUUACGAGGUUGGAGGCCCAGAAAGAAGAGUAAUCGGAUUGCUGCUGCAAUGUCUUCCUGUUUCCACUGGCUUUCCACCGGGAAGGAACAUCUCCAUCUUUUCCGUAAGGGAUCGGAGUUCACCCAGUCGGUUUUAGGUUGAAGAUGACAGCAAGAUGUAAGGAAAUAACUGUUCAAGUUGCAAACAACCAAUUUCCCAGUUACUAGCCGUUUAAAUGGGUUGGGCUAAUUUAGAGUAUUGGGCUUAUUUGAGUGCUACCUUCAUACUGUCCUGAUUGAGAUUCAACUUCAGCCCACAGCCACAUCUCAACUGUUGAGGUUUGAUUAUUUCUGUAAUCAAUUGCUUGCUUAUCGUGUUUUAUUAUUUUGUUUUACCAUCUUUUCCAAAGAAAUAAGUAUCCCAUAGCCAUUAAGAAUAGGGCUUUAAAUUGGUGGGUAGUUAAUCCUAUCACAAUUUGCGGUUUAUGACUAAUAAUGGCGGAAAUUUAAGAUUAAGACAUACAUUAAGUCGAAUUUAAAUCCAAAUUUAUGUAUUAAGUAAUUAAUUUAUGAACAUAUAUUUUUUAUCAUAAAGUUAAAAUAUUAAAAAACACAUUCACUAAGUUAUUUUUAGUUAAAACAAGUUAUUUUAAAAGAUCGAUUUGCCACCGGCAAUUUUUUCCCUAAUUAAGUAAUAGUAAAUGCAAGUACUCAGCCAAAGUGAUGAUGAAUAUGUAUCGAUUACUAAAUCGAAAUAACAAAACAUUAAGUCGGACUAAAAUUGUCCUGAGCCGAACUCAAAAAAAUUGUAAAUAUAUAACAUAAAUUUACAAAUUACGGCUGGAAUUGCUCUCAACCGUAACUUCCCGGGCUCCCCUUUCUAUCCGCCCAUGAUGACUAACAACUAACCGCACCUCCAGUUUGCAAUAGCUACUUUUUUCGUAACGAGAAAAAAAUAACACGGAAUAUGAAUUACAAAAUAAUAAAAUACAGAAUCUUAGCAACUUCAUAAAUUUUAACAUGACACACAUAGAAGAUAAAGAAUGCACCUUCACAAUCCAAUCCAAAUCAAAAACUUCCACAAAGAUUCAACUUCACAAACAAAGAAGACAACCACUAUCAAAGAUUCUAUUUCGGCUACGUACACAUCAUCAUUAUUAUUAUCUGGUAAUUCUUUUGAAAUACGUUUGAAAAUAUGAACUAGUCACGGGAAUGAACCCGAGAGGCAAGUUGAUUGAGUGAGUCACUACUCUUGUUCAGGAAUCACAGCCCCGCCUUUGGCCGCUGCUUCCUCGGAGCUCUCCUCCUCGUCAUUUUCUCCGGUCAAAGCCUCCAACGACUUACCAUUCGGUUCCGGCACCAACAACGUAAACACCAUCCCGAGGAAAUUAAUACACCCCAACGCUAUCAACGAAUUCUUCACCCCAAUCCCUGGGCUAUACCCCUUAUCCACCUUCGUCGGAUCCUGCGACUGAGCCGCGUACAAAAACCCAAACGCACCCACUAUCGCCCCUGCCUUCCCCGCCGCCGCCGAUAUCCCGUGGCAAGUCGACCUCAAUCUCGCCGGGAAUAUCUCCGCCGGCACCACAAACGUCGUCGCAUUCGGCCCGAAAUUCGCGAAGAAGAAAGUCAACGAGUACAUCACCACAAACCCGAGCCGGUUGGGCUUCAAAGUCCAGUGGUGGUACGGAAUCGCCAGGGCGAACAUGAACACCGUCAUGAAGAAGAACCCCAUCAUCUGAAUCGCGAACCUCCCAAUCACGUCGAUAAACAGCACCGUGAACCAGUACCCUGGAACCGUACUGCACAGCGCUAUCAAAGUCUGGGCCCUAGCAAUCCGAUAGACCUCGUGAAUUGCGUUCAUGGUGUUUGCCGGCGGGAUCCAAUUGAUGGCGGUGAAGAUAUCCUUCUGGAAUAGGUUCUGGCUGUAGAAGGCGAUGUCGAGCAAGAACCACGUGGAUGUAGUCCCCAAUAGGUGGAGCCCAUGCCUUUUGAGGAACUCACGCGAGAAUAGCCCGAAUUUGUUAGCGGAAUUCUCGGCCAUACCUUUUACCUUCUCUUCCUCUGCUUCCAGAUCCACGUUCAGCACCUUCGACAUGUCCUGCGCGGCCUGUUUGGCGUUCUUCGCCACCAACGCGGUGUACCGGGCAGUCUCCGGCAUCUUCAUCCGCCAGUAGUAAGUCACGCCGGCGGGAAUUGCGCCGAACAUCAGAAUUAUCCGCCACACGUAGUCCGCCUGGGGAGCUAGGGAGGCAGCUCUGUCAGUCGCGUAGGAAGGAGCGCUGAAUCUGUGGUCGAACGCCGAGGAGACGACCAAGGCGACGAUUCCUCCGCCCAAGAUUCCGAACCCUUGCAUCGCGAACACGGCGGCGAUGAAGGCUCCCCUUGUCUUCUUGUUGGCGUACUCGGACAUGAUGGUCGCCGAGAGAGGGUAAUCGCCGCCGAUUCCGAAGCCGAGCCAGAACCGGAAGAAGCAGAGUGUGGCGAUUACCGAUGAAGGGUCGUGGCUGAAGGAGAGUCCCGAUGCUAAGGAGCAGACCACCAUGAGUAUGAGCGUGAUUCCGUACACUUUCUUGCGGCCGAGCUUGUCUCCCAGCCAGCCGAAGAAGAGCUGGCCGGCUAAGGUGCCGCAGAGUGCGACGCCGUUGACGGCUGCGGCGACGUUGGGAGGUAGAGAGCCUGGUUUGGGCAGACUAGUGUCGGUGUAGUAAAUUCGGCCGAGCAAUUUGCUGACGAGGGAGAUGCAGAAGAGGUCGUAUGCGUCGGUGAAGAAUCCCAUUCCUGCGAUGACGAUCGCGGUGAAAUGGUAGAGCUGGGUUUUAGCGACGUCGAGUGCUGUGAGCACUCCCAGUUGCUCUCUCGCCAUGACUGCCUGCAGCUAAUUAAUCAACUCCACGUACGUGCCCUCUGUUUCUUUUUUUCUCUAUAUUAACGUACAAUUGAUCAGAGAUUUGAGUAUAGUCUGUAUAAUAUCAGUAAAUGACUAUUGGAUUAAGACGUGUUCAAUAUAUAUAAAGAGAAAACUGGCAUGGAGUCAUGGUGUUGGAUACAUAGCUUGACAAAUUAAAGGAAGCAAAACAAAUGAUCUGAACUUAUAUUGUACAGUUGGCGAUGAUCAUCAACAUUCAUGACUUGUUCAGGUGUUCUUCCUUAGCUAGCUAGGUAGGCUGGCCAGCCGAACAGAAUCGACCUUGGGAUUUCCAGAUGGAAACAACCAUAGAUAUAUGGUUCCCCAGCCAUAUAGUAUACUUAGUUAGCAGCUUCAAGCGCCAUGUGUAUGCAAAUGCAUGGAUAGCAUAUAGCAUCAGAAAAGAAAAAGCAACCGCACUAGGCAAACAAAGUAAGUAUAUACUAGAAAGCGACAAAGUAGAGCUUCUUCUUUCUCAACGUACAGAUGGAGUUAAGAGAAUUACUCACCUUUAGUUACUUGGGGAUAGUUAGUGCUUCAUCCAAAUUCACAAAGGGAUCGAUGACCAGUGAGAAGAGUAGUGUGUAAUUAAGAUGUUGCUUGUUGGCAGAGUUUUAUAGAGGGAGGGACUCUCAUAUAUGGUUGCAUAAAUGGCAUCUAUUAGAGGAUAUGCUGUGUGUGUUCCCAUUGUUUCAUGUUUAAUUUAGUCCACUCUAUUAAGAGGAUAUACAUUACUGAUUACUGGCUCUUCCUCUAUAACUAUUCCUGCUUUCACAUUCCAUUUCAUCAACCUGCUGCAUACAUUACAUACGACUAAACUUAUCUAUCUGUCUUUCUAUUCUCUAAUCUACCAUUGGGAUUGCGGACUUGUUAUCUACAUUAAUUUAGAACCUAAAACAAGUUACUGAUAUACGCUGUAUAUUCUUAUUGGUCAUUCAGAAUGAAGAGUUCAAGUUUCCCCAAGCUGUGCUUCAGCUUGGUGCAACACUGCAACUGUGUCCCUUUCUGUUUAUAGGUACAUGCAAUAAUUCCAUAUUGGUGCCUGGUAAGACCAGUAUGAGCAAACUAAGCAACUGUUUAUCAGAGAGUGAAUAUAUGGAGAUUAGUUAAAACUUACGCGAUUGAGACAUGAAGCGCGUUAAUUGCUCAACAUUCAACGCUACUAUUGAGUAUUGACAGCAAAGUUAUUUGUAUUUAACUUGCUUGUCUUGUCCCUCAUGGCCAUGGAGAAAUGCAAUUAAUUUGUUUUGAUUGAUUUCCAUCGGGUACGUACACCGGAAGACAUGUAGAGGAAGAUCAUCGUCCCACUAUGCUAGAUACAAACAAACAAUUUGCAUGUUCAAUGAACGCCACUAAGAAGAUAAGAUCUGGUAUGUAUCCUCUUAUUUUUCUUUGAGCUCUAUUUUGAGAAGUCAACUAGUUGACAAAUUCCAGUACUUGGGGUAUAUGCCAUAAUAUUCCAGCAACUGGGUUGCCAACUUAUGUCAACUUAAAUUGAUUUAACGGUAACUACGUACGUAUUAAGUAGCUCAAUAUGUGAAGUCGCAACAUGCUAUAUAUGCUGGAAACUUGAGAUUUCUCUCUUGGGAAACUAUAGUUUAGGUGACAAAUUGAAUAUUAUUGUCUGUGUCCAACUGACAUGUUAUAUUUUAUAUUACACUUCAAAUUCUGAGCACAUUCCCAUCCUAAUUAUAAGGUGAUGCAGAGAGGUUUGGUGGAGACCUUACAGGGUUACGAAGGGACAACUUAAAACUUAUUUUUAUUUGGUCCUUUAUUUAUUGAGAUUCUACAUUGUUGUCCAAAGUCUUUUUUGGUCCUAUUAAAGUGUAACACAAUGUUCACUUUAUCCAUUUUCUGAUCAUUUUCUUCAAGUACUGAUAUGGUAUUUGUGAUCAAUCUCCGUCGUUUUGAGUGAAAAAAUAAUAGUAUCUGUUUUGUGAAUCGUUUAGGUUGAAUUAGAUUGCUUUAUCCGGAUCUAAUACUUGAAUUAGGUCCUUUACAAUCACAUAUGGUAAACGGUAGGAAGUUCAAUGUAUGAUGCAUGACGGCAUGAGAGUGAAUAGAAAUAUGAAAGAUGGAGGAGAGAAAAAUGUAUUGAGGUGCCUUCUGCAGUUUUGACUAACGGCCCUCUAUAGAGGUGGCAUGACAGUAUCUAUAUCGUUGUCUCUAGGUGGUGUGACCUUAUUUAGGUUGUAGAUCUCUACGAGUGCGAUUUGAACCCUCGGAUUGAGGAUCACCCGAGGUGCCUUGUGUAUUAGGGCUUGAGGAUUGCCUAAGAUGCCUUGGAUCUAACCUGCUCAAGACCCGGUCGGUCAUCAGUUAAAUAAUUUUUUUUUGGUAUGGUCAACUCUGAAGGUAUCAACCAUAAUUAUAGGUUGCUUGUUUAAACCCAAGUAUGACAAACCAAUCAGCAUUCAACCUGAUUCGUCAUUUAAGAAUAAUACAACACAUUCUUUUAUUAUUUUAUAUAGUGAACGAAAUAAAAAACUAAAAAAUUAAAUAAAACUUUUUAAAAACACCGAAGAAUUAAAAAAAAUUUGUUUGUGCAACUCCCAGUUCUCUUCAUACUGCUCAACUUGCUCGCUACACGCCUACACCAGUUGCAAUUCCAAUAACUCAUCUAUCCAUGCUUCGUCUUUUUCUUUUUGGUCCCUGGGUAAUAUAAUUAUUAUUUCAGAAGAUUUAAUUACUAUAUAGAAAUUUCUAUGUUAUUAUUAUUAUUAAUGACUGGAUAGGCCAAUUAUGACCACGUCAGCAUUUAACGAGAAAAUAGAUAAAAAAUUAUUGUGGUGCCACAUUGAUAUAAUCCCAUAGGUAAGGUAUGUAAGUGGGAAAGAAUUGGUGUGUGACUAACUACAAUGUAUAUUCAGUCAAAAGAUGGUUUCCCCCCGUUUUUUAAUUAUAAAUGUUGAUUUAGAUUGAAUAGGUGUACCAUUCAGAGGGACUGUUCUAAUUACACCUCUGCGCUAGAGAGUUUUGAUGUAACUUUUUUAAGAGAGUUUCAAUUGCCAUCCUCUACAAACAAAACAUGGCCUCUCCCAACAUCACUUCCUAUACCCCACCAACCAUGUUGUACCAUGGACUGGCUACGUUGCCUCGAUUGUCUAGAAGUUGGACCGAAGCCGGAGAAGAUCAUCCAUCACUGCCGUCGCAUCGCAUCCCACCAACGACUCACCGAUCGAUUGAAGAUCGGAAUGAAGCCCGGUGAUCGCGCCGUAGGGCGACGCCGGAGAACGCACCCAGACCUGGCCGCGGAGGAGCUGCGAUUAGCCGAAGCACCGUGGCGACGACGGUGCUCAUCCCGUCGGUGGAGGCCCUAUCUCUCGUGGAUAUUGGCAAAAGCACACAUGUCACCUAAAGAACCGGUUUGAGAGCAGUUCCAGAACUCACAGCCGGCCGGCCAAAGUCGACCGGUUAGUCUAAGUAGCUGAAAGAUCAAGAUAGUCAUAGUACUAACGAUGUGGUGAUUCCAAUAAGGACAUGUUGUCCAAUAGAUAGGUUUUACGGUUUUUGAAUUUACAUUUUUAUUUGGCUAACUUUAUGUCGUUGAUCCCUUUGUCGUUUGUCCAUGGACAGGAGAGAAAGGAUUGAGGUUCUUGUUUACAAGAACCCGCAAUCUAUACAGUUUCGUUUGUGAUGCCUGUACCCCCGGUUGGACACUUGUACGACUUUUGAUUCGUUUAAAAGAAAUGAAGUGGGGAUUUUGUCAAAAAAAAAAACAAAGUCUACCAUCGAAUAUUCAAUACUGUUAUUUUAUAAAUAAUUUUUUUUAUUAAAAAAAACCAACGAUUUUACCAAAUUGAAAAAACAAGAGUGAAGUCUCAAUCUCUUCGAGGCUUGGAGUAGCUCCCUCCCUAUAGGGUUUUGCUCAUCCCCCAUCACCUCUCCCCACCUCACGACACAUCCACCAAUCACAAUUUCAAGCUCUCAAACUUCAUCAACAACCCUAAACCUCUUUAUCGACUACUAAUAAACGCACCUUCAGGCUCGAUCCCAACCUCCACCAUGCCCCCGAAGCAGGUGAACCCGCACAGACCAAGCAAGCCGGCGGCCGACGGGUACGCAAAAAGAAGCACUCAGGAAAAUCACCAUUGGUCAAUGUACGAGUGGAACAGGCGGGUUUGCCCUUGGCCCAACAGCAUAAAUCCCUUCGGGGGUUGUGGAGACCGGAUCAUCUCCGACAACUUCCUCCCCUGCGGCUGAUCUAGCUUUUGUGUCUUCUCUCUUGUUUUUUCCGAUGAUUUUCCUUCGAACUAUGUUUAUGUGUCAGUUAAUAUUUCUAUUUGUUUGUUGGUUCCUUGAGUUUUACUGAAUGUAUCGAGAAGCGAAGUUGAUUAAUUGUAUGGUUAAUUACUUCUCUCAUUGUAAUCUUCAUAGAUUGCACCUUUCGAAUUAUCAUCCACACAAUAUUUUCAAGUUCUUAUUGGAAUAAUAUAAAGGUUGAUUAUUGUAAAAAAAAAAGAGUGAAGUCUCAAACAUUCAAAAUUCAAAUUAUUGUCUACAUAAGUAUCGAUCCACAAUGAAUUAGCAAUGCUGAAAUGAAACAUCAGACGAAAGAAGAAAACCAAAUCAUCUUCUAUUUAUUUUGUUCUAUUUGUAAUGAGAGUGGAUAUUAUUUAGUAUUUACCCAUAGUACAUGCGGCAACAAACAAUCUUUCCUAUCUUCCACCUGGUCGUUACCAUAGUUUCGUGGGAUUAAUCGACACCUUAAUUUAUUCAUUCGUUACAGCCAAAGUACCAUUCAAACAGAGGAUAAUUAUGUGAACUCUUGCAAACUCUUGCAAAAACUGAAAUAGAUUCCUCGAUUCUUUAUGCAGCAGAUUAAAACUGGGUAAAAGUUAAAACUUGCAAUUCUUGCAGAAACUGAAGAAAACAUGGUUGUACGUAUAUGAAACUAUUUGUUGUCACCUGUCAAUCUAUGGUCUAGAGAUAGUGAUGUUGUCAAUGAUCAAUCCCUGCUACGCAUGAAUGGUAAAAUAUUUGGGAUACGCGUUUUUGUGCAUCAGGGCAGUUAGCUGUCAGAAACUGGGUGAGCAAUUGAAAGGAAAGGAAACUUCGUCUCUGCAUUGAAUGAACAGAGAUGGAUCACUUCAUGUUAAAAAGAUAAAACCAAGUAACAAAAUAUAUAUAUAUUACUGAAGUUGAGCAGUACCAUUGGCCUGCAGCGGGUACUGUUCGUAAUAUGACAAAAAUGGUUUUUUUCGUAAACUUAGAGCGACAAUAAAAAUUCAGGAUAGGAAUGCAGAACAAAAUUUCCUGGGACGAUGUUGACUUGAAUUUUGGGCCUAAAUAAGUGGUGAAUUUUUCACAAGUAGUCUUGGUAGGAUGUUAUUAAGGGCCCAAAAGUGGGACUCCAUCAUUGUUAGUCCCUAUCAAUGACAAGCUUCAGGAUUAAUUGUCAAAGACAUCAUUCAUGUCUUGUCCAGUGUUGGGAUUCAAGUUUAAAUGGUUUGCCGUUCAACAAAUGAAGCUAUUAAUUUGUAGGGAACACAAAUUAAUUCUCCCUACGACGGAGCGGUUAUGCGACGUUUUUCAUCCUCCCCUUGCGUUCUCGCGUCAACCGUCGUCAACCGCCAUCAGCAACGGCCUCCGGCCAUCGGACAACCAUCAACCUUCAUCAACAGCAAUCUUCAAUCAUCGAAUUCACUACCGAUCUCCAUCGAUCCUCUGGGUAAAACCCCAUCCCUUUCCUCUUUUCCUAUCAUUGGUGCCGAGUUUCUCGAUUUCGAUUCCUUCGCAUUUCCCCUGAUUUGAUUACGACGCCAUGAUUGAUUGUUCUGGCAAAGGUCGAUCCUCUAAUCUCCUACUUCUACCUUAAAUUCGGCCGUGUAGCCUAAUUUUGCCUUUGUGGUAGAAUUCGAUCAUCCAUAGAAAGGCCUUCCACAUUCACUUUGUUGGGUUUGUUUUGGAUCCAAUUGGGGUCUCUUCGACCAUCGACAAUCUCGACUCAAGCACACGGAAUCCAUACUCAUCGGCACAACAUGUACCUUUGUUGCAUCUCAACUCGUUUCCGGCGGAAGAGGAUUCAACACGGUUCAACCCAACCAACCAACCCUUGAAGCUGAAUUAUAGGUGGAAAUGUUAGUAGAGGAAAAUGACCGAGUGGUUAAUUGACCCAUGACCAUGAUCUUAUUACAUCAACAACAACAGCAACAAGAGACCACUUUCAAAUUUAACUCAAGAUACACAAAUUUUGAACAGGGUACAUGGAAAGUUGUGACUGUACAUAACACUAGUUAUCAAACUGAAUUGGCCGACAAUAAUUGUUCCUUCUCUCACCUCAAACUGUCAAAUAGAUUACAAACCAUCCACCUUGGAAGCUGACUCCUUCCCCACAAUCCCCUCAAUGGAAUCAAACUCUGUCCCCUUAGCUAUAUCUCAGAAACGACUGCCAAAUAGACACUUUUCAUUGAGAACAAUAAGAACACAAAAGCAAGACAACACAAUGUAACAACGUGCUGAACUGCUGCUACCUUGAUUUUAGCAUUACUUGUGGUUGUUUUAGUCGAACCGAUACUCGGAAACCCAAACCUUGCUGGUUUCUUCUCCAAUGGCCUCAGUAUCUGAAAUGAACACAACAAGUCCCCAUCCACACUCAUCAUUGCACCGGCAUUGUCAAACUCCCCACAGUAAUUUGGUGCUGAGAAUAUUGUCACUAGUUGCUUAUUAGCAAAGAACUCAUAUCCAUCCUCCAUAACCUGCAACCAACAAAAAUGCCACAUUAUUAUAACAAUCAUAUAUGUACGUAACUUCAGCAUCCAUAUAAUACGUAGUUAUCUACUCCUCCCAACCUGAUGUGCCCUGCAGAUUAGAUCAAGAUCAAGCUUGCGAAGAAACUCAGUGACUCGAUCAGCUCCAAACGUAUACGAAACACCUCUCUCGUUCGGCCCCCACCCUCGAAUGUCCUUGGAAGGAUCAGACCAUAGAAGAUCACACAACAAUCCACUGUCAGGGAUGGAAGUUGGCCGCGGUAGGUUCCUGAUUUGGUCCAAGCUAUGGAGAUCAGGAGACAACCCACCGUGCAUACAUAGAAUCUUUUCAUCAAUGAGAGCCGCCACGGGGAGGCAAUUAAAGCUGUCUGUGAAGAGCUUCCACAGCCUGACACUGUACCUGCGUUUACACUCGUCGUAGAAGCCGUAUAUCCUGUUGAGAGAGGCACAUUCAUGGUUGCCUCUCAGUAGGAAGAAGUUCUCAGGGUACUUGAUCUUGUAAGCCAAGAGAAGACAAAUGGUCUCAAGGCUUUGUUUCCCUCUGUCCACAUAGUCUCCCAAGAACAAGUAAUUCGCUCUUGGUGGGAACCCUACACUCUCAAAUAUCCUUAGCAGGUCACUGUACUGUCCAUGGAUGUCUCCUGUUUAAGUUUCAAGUUCAUUGUAGGCAGCAUCAGAGAAAAACCCUCAAGAAAAGUAGUGAACUUUUUACUCAUGGUUGGUAAAUUGAGCAAAUUUGCUGAGUCGAAAUACUGUUACAUAAGCAAAUCGGCAAAUACAACUUGUAAUUUCCAGCACAAUCAUAAUAAGUUAACUAUUGUGCAAUCACUCUCAUACGCGUAUAUAACAAGUUAUACACCAUUACCCUAAACAGAAUCAAACAACAGUAGAAAGAAAUCCAUGACUGAAAAAAAGGAAACAAAUUUCUGAAAAGAAUGAUACGUAACUCUGCAAUCAGGGAGAGCAAAAAUGAGAAUAGAGGUGAAGGAUGAUUAUUGAUUACCACAGAUGUUGAUAGGAGCUUCAAUCUCCAAGAGAUUAGGCUGGUUCAGUAAAACCUGGCGGGAGGAGACACAAAGCUGGACGAUUUCGCUCUCGGAGAGCUGAACCAGCUUUCCGGGCUUUCCCCUGACUUCAAGCAAUCGGCUGAUGAUACUGUCAAGAACCCAGCGUUCUAUCAUCUUCAAAGUUGCAGACUUUUGAUUAAUUUGUUGUCAGGCAGCCCUCAGAGAUGGACAAAGAUCAUAGAUGAAGAAGAAGAUGGGAGAGAUGGUUUCUUAAUAAUGGGGAGCAUGUAGUGUAUGUGUAUAACUUUGGGGAAAGAAGGGUUAUUGGGUUUUGUGUUGAGUGACUUUGAUGUGGAGGAAGGAAUGAGAUGACGAAUGGUUGUGGAGAAAAGGGCAAAUACACAAAAUUAAAGGCAAUUUGAGAGGAGGAUAUAUUCUAUUCUCUGAUUCUCUCCUCUUGGUGUUUGUUCCUUUUAGGGGUUUAUUUCAAGAAACGAGUUUACUUUAUCAAGUUGAAUAUUAUUGGCCUUUUUCUUGGUAAUGGUUGGUUUCAUUUCACGGUGGAGCCAAAAACAAAAUUCAAUAAAAAGCACAAGGUGAAAUAUGCUUUGAUUUUGGAAUAAAGAAGACGAAUUUAGAAUAACACGGAAACCAAUAGGUGAAGUGUACUUAGCACUCAUUUUGCACAUUUAAUAGUAUUAGUUCGAUUUCGAAUGCCCCAAUGGACAAACUGUCUAUAGGCCCCGGCUUCGUUCCACCGGGUUUAGGCCUGACAUGAUGGUAAUAGCCUGGCAUGAUGGUAGUAGCUACGUAGUUCAAAGUCCAUCAACUGGGGUCUAGGCCAGAUUUUUAAUAUUUUAUCGACUCAUAUUUUACUAUCAAUUUUAAUGUCAUAAAAAUAUGUCUGAUGAAAUGUCAUGACAAAAAUGAUUCCAAAAUACUAGCUAAAUGUGUCAUUGUCGUCAACCAACAGAAGGAAUUUCAACUAGAUGUGGAAUUGCAUGGGGACGAUCGUUCUGCAGAUAAACAGAACUUCAAACGGCCGGUACAACCGGGAUGACUGAGCUGGCAAGAGAGAAAAACAAAUACUAUUUCUAGAGUUUAAACCGAAAUAAAACUAAAAAAAGAAAAACAAACUGAAAGCAAACGAGUCUAACGAAUGAGAAAAAUAAAAAAAGAACUAAACGCCUAACAAAUUUGGAUGUGAUAUCCGUAUUGAGCCCGCUAAGAGAGGCUAGGGUUCUUAGCGGUCUUGAGUUCUUGGAUCAGUCGGUGUGUCCGAAACCGAGCUGCAACUCGGUCGAACCGGUUCCUAGUUGCUUCUUCCUCUGUUUUUACUAUUAUUUUAUUAUUGGUUAAUUUUCUUAAUUAAAAUUUUUACUUAAUUUACGAAUGAUGAUGUGGCUACAUUUGACAUGUUAGCUGAUACGUUAUUUUAGUGGUCUCAGUUUCAGUUAAUUUGGACGGAAAAUUUAGUGAAAUUUUGUUAAAAGGCAGGACCGAGAUUUAAAAUGAUUCAAACUAAAUUUGAAAAUCCGCUUUAAAUUUGGGAUAGAUUUGGGUAUUCGGCUAAUAAAAAGUUUGGCGAUUCGAUAGAUUUAAGCAUAUCCCUAUACGUUGAAUUUGAAUUAUUUUCUAUUAAAAUGCAAAACUGGUGUUUGCUUGGUUGAACAAGUAUCGUAUCAAAGGUUCGUAGACAUGGUGACACUUAUUGAAGCCUGGCACGUCGGUCGAAUAUUACCCGCCCAAAAUAGGUGAGACAACAUAUUUUUAAGUAGGAAUUAAAAUUUCUUUUUUAAAGAGAGGAAACAGAAAAUAAACCUUUUAAAACAUAAAUAGAAAAAUUUGCAUUCCUCGUAGUAUACGGAUUGAGAUUUUCACGGGUUUCCAUUGCCUCUUGAUCGGCAAUCGAGUGGCACAAAACACCUAAUCUCCCUUCCAUAAUCCUCCCUAUAUAAACAACCUUGGGAUUGCACUAAAUCCUCCACCCAACCCAAACACCAAAGCCAUAGAGAGAGGGAGAGAGCCAGGGGGGGAAAGCCAUGGCUCUACAAAUUGUAGUGAUGAUGUUUCUGCUGGCAGCUGAGAUCUCUGAGUUAGGGAUGAUAUCAGCUGAUCCAAUUCCAAGUGUUGACCCUUGCUCAACAUCACACUACGUAUACAAACCUUCUAAAGAGCUUCCCCAUGGCCGUUAUAGUUUCCCUCCUGGCUUUAUCUUUGGCACUGCCACUUCUUCUUUUCAGGUUAGUUAAUUACUUCUUCACUCUAUUUAAUCGAUAUGCAUCCAUAGCGAGCGAGGUGGUAGGUCUGCUGGAUUUCGGCUUGGAGAUCCCAGCUUCGGAGUCCGGAGAGUGCACUUCUCACAACCCUAUUAUAGCGAUGUCCUCUGAUUUGCUUAAAUAAAUGCUCGUGCUUAAGAUCGAUAAUCCUGAAACUUAUCUGACUGUUCGUCAUAAAAAACAAUGCAUAUAUCAUAUAUAAGUGCUAGCUAUGUAUUAUUUUUCCUAUUUCUUACUUAUUAUGGUGGUAAUGAAGAUUGAGGGAGCUUCAGAUUUUUCGUAUGGGAAAGGUCCGAGCAUUUGGGACAGAUUUACCCAUCAGUAUCCAGGUUUGUGCCAAUUUAGGACUUUAAUUUGAUCAAUUUUUGAACAAAAAACCGAUUCCACCCAAUUUUGUAGCUAAUACAUUAUGCUACAAUGUUGAUUCAUUUGUUGCAGAAAGGAUUUUAGAAGGUGGUAAUGGUGAUGUAGCAAUAGAUCAUUAUCACAAAUUCAAGGUAUAUGAAAAUAUACGUAAAAGUUUCUUGUCUCACCGCGAGAUAAUAUUGGGUGUCUCACUACAAUAAAUUAUAAUAAAAAAGUGAGACCAAAAACGUUUGGUGCGUUAUAAUUAUAAAGGGUAUCAUUGUUUUAUUAUAAUGAAGCACCCAAUUUUAUCUUUUUUUUCAUAAAUCAAUUAACCACUUUCUCUUAUAUAUUAAUAUAGGAAUGAUCAUAUGACUAAUUAGUUAUUUUUUAAUAAAAAAAACAGGAAGAUAUUAUGAAAAUGAAGUAUCUCAAUGUUGAUGCGUACAGAUUCUCUAUCUCAUGGCCACGAAUUAUACCAUGUAAGGAUGAUUGCUUUUCUUGUUUGUUCUUAUUUUGAGUAAAUAUUGCUACUCUUUGUUCAUCUAAAACAAAAUAAAUUAUUUUAUAAUAACAAAACUCCAUGUCCUAUAUUUUACUUGUGUAGUUAAGUACUUAUUCUCAAAAUUGUGUAUGCAGCUGGCAAGAGAAGUGACGGAGUUAAUCAAGAAGGAAUCAAAUUUUACCACGACCUCCUCGAUGAACUCAUUGAAAAUGGUAUAUAAUCUCGUUUUAUUAAAUUAGUAUCAAUGGUAUAUCUCCAUUUAUAAAAUCUCGUUAAUGCUAGUUAUAUUGUGUACGUAGGGAUCGAGCCUUUUGUCACAAUAUGGCAUUGGGAUACCCCUCAGGCUCUUGAAGCUGAGUAUGGUGGCUUUCUAAGCCGAGAUAUUAUGUAAGUUGCAUGUAUUUCUCCAAAUUAGUCGACUUCAGUUGAGUCUGUAUGGUUACUUAAUUCAUACAUCUUGAUCUUGUCUCGCUACGCAGAAAGGAUUUUGAGGAUUACUGUGACGUCUUGUUUCAAGAAUAUGGCUCAAAAGUAAAGAAAUGGAUAACUUUGAAUGAACCUAUGGGUAACGCAAUGAAAGCCUACGAUGAAGGGGUUUUCGCACCCGGACAUUGUUCUGUAUGGGUUGAUAGAGCAUGUAAACUUGGAGACUCUUCAACUGAACCUUAUAUUGUUUCCCAUCAUCAACUUCUUGCUCAUUCCGCUGCUUACCACUUAUACAAAAACAAAUAUCAGGUUUGUUGCAUUUUCCACUAGAUAUAUAGUUGCAGGCUAGUCAUGGUGCGAACCUAUACUUGUAUUUUUUUACUGUAUUAAUUUAUUCAUUUUUUUAUGGAAUAGAAUCUUACUGGAGAAAUAGGAAUAACCUAUGUCUCACAUUGGUUUCUUCCUUACUCUAAUACAACUGAAGAUAUUGAUGCUGCUCACAGAGCUCAGGAUUGGAUGUAUGGCUGGUGAGUAGCAUUUCUAUUAUCUCUCUAAAAACUAAUUUUUCAUUUAAACUAUUAGCUAAAAACUAAAUUGAUUAUUUCGGAUGUAGGUACAUGGAUCCAAUCACCUAUGGUUAUUACCCUAGAACAAUGGUGGAUUUAUUGGGAUCUCGUUUGCCCAAAUUUACACUAGAAGAAUCACGCUUGCUUAGAAAGUCAUACGACUUUUUAGGCAUCAAUUAUUACACUAGUUAUUUUGUGAAGAACAAUGAUAAAUUUGAUAAUGCUCAUCUUCGAUAUGCAACUGAUCACCACGGCAUUACUACACGUAUUAUAUUCAAUAUCUCAAUUAACUAGUUUCAUUAAUUUCAAAUAUGAGGCAAAGAAAUUGUCUAAUACGAAUUUUUUUUUAUUUUUUGUUUUCCCAUCAGCUGAUAGAGACGGAGUGUACAUUGGACCACAUGUAUGUGAUAACCUUGCUCAAAUAAUAUAUUAGUUACUUGUUAAUAAUAUGAAAUUAUAAUAUUGUAAUACAAACAAUUUAACUUUUGUUAACAUGCAGUUGGGUUCAUACUGGCAAUAUUUAUAUCCAGAUGGUUUACGAGCAUUGCUGAAGUACACUAAAGAAAAAUAUGAUAAUCCUGUCAUUUACAUAACUGAAAAUGGUACUUAAUUAUACUAAUCAAUCAUGUAAUGACGCAAAUAAAAUUCUUACUUAUUAAAGUUGAAUUAACUAUUUAACUAUGUAUGGUAUAAUUGAUGAUCAGGAUUAUCGGAGAAGGACAACGCUACACAGACACUUGAAGAGGCACUACAGGACAAGAUGAGGAUUGAUUUUUACAACAGCCAUCUUACAAGUGUUCUGCAAGCCAUCAAGUCAGUACAAAUAUAAUAAUAUUACGCAUGCUUUCCACGCACAGUUUAUUAUUCAUGUAACAAGAAACUCUGCAACCGAGCCUUACAUUGUUUCCCAUCAUCAACUUCUUGCUCAUUCCGCUGCUUACCACUUAUACAAAAACAAAUAUCAGGUUUGUUGCAUUUUCCACUAGAUAUAUAGUUGCAGGCUAGUCAUGGUGCGAACCUAUACUUGUAUUUUUUUACUGUAUUAAUUUAUUCAUUUUUUUAUGGAAUAGAAUCUUACUGGAGAAAUAGGAAUAACCUAUGUCUCACAUUGGUUUCUUCCUUACUCUAAUACAACUGAAGAUAUUGAUGCUGCUCACAGAGCUCAGGAUUGGAUGUAUGGCUGGUGAGUAGCAUUUCUAUUAUCUCUCUAAAAACUAAUUUUUCAUUUAAACUAUUAGCUAAAAACUAAAUUGAUUAUUUCGGAUGUAGGUACAUGGAUCCAAUCACCUAUGGUUAUUACCCUAGAACAAUGGUGGAUUUAUUGGGAUCUCGUUUGCCCAAAUUUACACUAGAAGAAUCACGCUUGCUUAGAAAGUCAUACGACUUUUUAGGCAUCAAUUAUUACACUAGUUAUUUUGUGAAGAACAAUGAUAAAUUUGAUAAUGCUCAUCUUCGAUAUGCAACUGAUCACCACGGCAUUACUACACGUAUUAUAUUCAAUAUCUCAAUUAACUAGUUUCAUUAAUUUCAAAUAUGAGGCAAAGAAAUUGUCUAAUACGAAUUUUUUUUUAUUUUUUGUUUUCCCAUCAGCUGAUAGAGACGGAGUGUACAUUGGACCACAUGUAUGUGAUAACCUUGCUCAAAUAAUAUAUUAGUUACUUGUUAAUAAUAUGAAAUUAUAAUAUUGUAAUACAAACAAUUUAACUUUUGUUAACAUGCAGUUGGGUUCAUACUGGCAAUAUUUAUAUCCAGAUGGUUUACGAGCAUUGCUGAAGUACACUAAAGAAAAAUAUGAUAAUCCUGUCAUUUACAUAACUGAAAAUGGUACUUAAUUAUACUAAUCAAUCAUGUAAUGACGCAAAUAAAAUUCUUACUUAUUAAAGUUGAAUUAACUAUUUAACUAUGUAUGGUAUAAUUGAUGAUCAGGAUUAUCGGAGAAGGACAACGCUACACAGACACUUGAAGAGGCACUACAGGACAAGAUGAGGAUUGAUUUUUACAACAGCCAUCUUACAAGUGUUCUGCAAGCCAUCAAGUCAGUACAAAUAUAAUAAUAUUACGCAUGCUUUCCACGCACAGUUUAUUAUUCAUGUAACAAGAAUUGUCGGAUUAUGCAUGCAGUGAAACACAGGUAAACGUAAAAGGGUUCUUUGCGUGGUCAUUCGCAGACAACUUCGAAUGGAACGAAGGGUACACAGUUAGGUUUGGGUUGUACUACGUUAACUACACCGAUCUCUCCAGACACCCAAAGGACUCAGCAUGCUGGUACACUAACUUCUGCAACAAGACCCAGCCGAAGACGAAGUACUUCUCUAACAAAUUUGAUCUUGAUCAGCUCAUCACCACACGUGCCGCUCCCGAAGGCCUCUCUCCUCUGCGGACCGUCUUUAAUAGUGUCAAUCAUCAAUCUUAAUUCUCAAGACCGAUGAUCUCUUACGUACAUAUUGUUACGUGCAUAUUGCAAGACAAAUGAGAGUACGUAACUAUUGUUACGAGAGAGACGAAAGGUGGCUUAUAUAUCAGUCUACAUUGAGCUGCGUUGUUUGCAAUUAGUAGUGGGAAUGAGAUCAUAUUGUAUUCUUGGGUUAUUCCCUUACGCGGUUUGCUUGCAUAGCUCAUUGUUGUUUGAUUUCUGGGUUGUAGGCUGAUAAGUAAUUAAGAACGAUGAUAUUUCCGCUACUGAACCGGUUGACGAUCUUGUGUUUUUCUUAUUUUAACUAAUGAUGCUUUGAGAUACUGCAGGUCCAUGUCAUCUUUCUAUGACCAUUUCGGUUCGUUUAGUGCUCGUCCCGAGUUUAGAUAAACCAGAAAGGUUCCAUCUUUGUGUAAUAGAACCUGCAAUAUAUUUCAUUCGAUGGGCAAGAAAGGAAAUAAUCAACUUUCUAGAUGGAUUCAAUUGACUCGUUUCGAAAGGAAUAGCACUGAGUAAACCAUUAUGGUUAUAUGGUUUAACCCAAUGAUCAUAUAAUUUUUUUUACAGCUAAAGGAUAAUACGAUUAACAAUAAAAAAGAUCUGGAAGUGGAGUUCCGUUGUUGACAUCGUUGGAACUCCACUUCCCAUGAAGGCAGUUACUAUUAAUAAUUUAAAAAUAAAAUAAAAAUUAAUUUUAUAUAGAGACUUAUGUUAUUUUUUAAUUUUACCAUUAGUCUUAUACUUUAAUUGAUUGAUCCCAGCCAUAUUAGACAUUCAUGAGACCUGGACCGAUGCACUCAUUCACAGUCAUUUAAAAAAAGUGUUCUCAAUUUCUAGUCAUCAUUACAGGGUUAAUUUCAUCAAUGAUACCAUAGGCGAGGACGAACAUUAGGGGGUUGAUUACAUUUUUGGUACCUUACUUAUUAAUAAGGUGUAUUUUGAUACUUUAUCUUUUGUUUAUAAUCAAAUGAUACUUUAUCUAUUAAAUUGUAACUAUGUGGUAUCUUCAUCCAUUAUUUCUUUAUCAAAAAACAUUCCAUCCAUUUUUUUCGUUAACUGUUGACGUGGAAGCCCAAUCACUUACCCGGUCAGCAAAUAUAAUAAAAAUUUGUAAUUUAUAUAGUAAUUACAUUUUUAACAAAAUAUAUGAUUUAAUGAAUUAUUUAGUUAAUAAAGGAGGCAGAGGCGAAGCUCGUGUUAGGUGAUGGUGACAAAAGGGGAGAUUGUGUUAGGUGAUGGUGGCGAAGGCGUAGAUCGUGAUAUGUGACGGCGGCGGAGGCAGACCUUGUGUUAGGUGAUGGCGUCGGAGGCAAGGUUCGUGUUAGAUGACGGCGACAGAGGCGACUGUUGUCGGGAUGUACCAGAAAAGAUGAAUGUGGCAUGGCGGGAGAAGGUGAAUGGUACGGAAAAAAGGAUUUUUAGGAAAAACUAAUAUAUUAACUAAAUAAAAAAUAUAUUUUUUUAAAAACUAAUUACUAUAUAAAUUACGAGUAUUUUUUAUUAUAUUUGUUGACUGGGAUGGGUGAUUGGACUUCCACAUCAAUAAUUUAUCGAACAAUGGAUAAAAAUUGAAUGGAGGUACCACAUAGUUACAAUUUAAUAAGUAUUAGGUUACAAAUAAAAGAUAAAGUACCAAAAUGUAUCUUUUUAAUAACUAAGGUACAAAUAUACAUUUUUGAUAGGUAACCGCUACUAUUUAUAAAAGGUAAAAUCCCCUCAGCUAUCAUAAAUUAUUUGAAAAAUAUAUUUUUAGCAUCGUACGUCGGAAACAGAGAAAUCAACAACUGACGAUGAGCUUGUGAGAGAGGAGAUCGACGUCGGAGCUAUGGAUGAGAUCGAGGAAGUGCUGGGUACGCCAUGGUGAGAGUUCUCUGUUGUGUUUUUUUUCUUGAGAUCAAAACUUUUUGAUCAAGGUGUUUUGGGGGACGAGGUGCAAAAAGAGUGGGAUUUGCAUAAUUCGUCCCGUUUAAAAGGGAAUGGGAAUGUCCAUUUUGGAUAGAAUUUGGGCUAAUUAAAAUUUUAAAAGUUUACGAUUUUGGAGUGAAAUUUCCAUACCGAAAACACGGAUUUGGUCCCAUCCAUGGGAAUUGAUCAGAUCCUGAGCCCAAAUUCAAUACAAAAAACGAUUGCUUAGUUAUCAUUAAUCUUUAUAAUUUUCGGUAAUCUCAAUUCUCGCGUCCAAACGGUCUCAUUAUCGUACCCCAGAUAUUAAUAACUCUCAUAGUACAAUAACUAAUGUGGAUUUACUUAAGACGAGAAUAGUCUAACACAGUGGCCCCUCCUAGUUUGAACAAAGUGGUAGAUUGGCAACAAAUUUUCAAACUUGCCGACUCAACUUGUUCCAUACGUACGUAGUACACCCACCAUGCAUUUAUAAUCCAAAGCCCCAUCAGACCAGAGAUCAAUUGUUAACGUGAAUAUAUCAGUAGCCACUGGCCACAUAUUUGGAUCUAAGACUCACCAUAUAUAAAAAGGAGGCACCCAUUCUUCUAAUUACACCAUUCAAGUAAGCUGCAGCCCUCAAACCAACACAAGACAAAAAAAACAUGGCGCUCAUGAUCACAAACUUGGCAGUUCUGUUCCUCGGAGCUUUACUAGCCAUAAGUACUAGUGCCACUCUUUCUAUGGGUGAUGAUGAUAAUGGCUAUGAGAGCCGUCUAGCCAUGAGGAAGGCGCCAAUACCAUCACCAAUUGUGCCUUAUUAUCCUACACCUCCAAGGAAAGUCGGGCCGCCGUUGCCGCCGAAGACGAAGGGGAAGCCUCACCAUAGCCAAUCUCCAAUUGUUCCCUACUUCCCCUUCUAUUACAUCCCAGCACCAUCACCGCUGCCUAAUAAUUAACUAAACAAGGAGGUGAGCCACCUGUUCAUGUACGUAGAACAUUUCCAAGGGAUGAAUAAAAUAAUAGUUUCAUAAGCCAUAUUUCCCGACUCGUCAUAUAUGAAUACAAGGAUGAAUUAGGUUCAGAUUAUUGUUUAAAAAGUUGUGUCUUAUAUAUAUAUUCUCGUGCAACUUUGCAAGUUAUUACUACAGUUUGAUCCUCUCUGUCCUAGCAGGUACGUUUUUCUGGACAACUAAGUGUUGAAUGCUGAUGAUUGAUGCAAUCAGUUAUGCAGUGUCUAAUUCCUUGUGCGCGGUUAUAUCAGUGUAGUUAGUAAAAUACGAUAUUGGUAUAAUACGAUAAUUAUACAUACAUGUAUAAUAUAACAAUUUUUUAGCAAUAGUACAAUAAAAAAGUCGGCGAUUAAAACGGCUAAUUGAAUUAGACGGAAAUAAGAAUUAUAUAUGCAUAAUACUUAUUUUAAUUUAAUAAACGUCAUUAAAAAUACGGAUAUAUCUUAUAAAAAAUUAUUAAAAAGUUGAUAGGACUUUGACAUAAAUAAAAUAUGAGUGAACUGAAAAGGGAAUCAAACUUUCAUAUUUUAUUUCAUAUAUACGGCUCAUGCGUCUUUAUACGCGCACUAAAUGGAUUCCAUUAUUUAAACGCGUAUUAGACGGCGGACAAACACAAAAAACGGGAAACGGAGUAAAAAACAGGGAUACGAAUUGUACGCGAAUAAGAUAGCGUUUUUUCCGUAUAAACUAACUAGACCGGACGUAGUCCGUAUUUUAUUUGGAGGUGAUGUCGAAUUCCCGACGAAGAUGAAGAACUAAGAUUGAGUAUCUCUUCGAGUAAGUUUUUUAUAUUUAAAUAAAUGUAAAGAUAAUUUUGUAACUUUUUAAAAUCUAAGGAGAUUAAUUUAACGUACGACGUCGAAUAACAAUAAGGGUAAACUCAAAUCCGGACCCAAAGCAAUCGCCACAUAUUUCGAAACCCCAAUCUCAGACAUUCUAUCUAGUUUUGACUCCUUUGACUAAUGUAAUAUUGUAGAUUGGAGUAGGUAGUCCAGCCAUUAUAUUAUUAUCAUUUUUCCUAAAAACAUCAAGCAACCACAACCUCCGACGAGGGUCCGCCGAUGGCGCAGCUCUCCAGAGGGUUUCUAGUGACUUUUUUGGCGAGUUUUCGCUAACUUUUUCAUAAGGUUUUUGUAAUAUAUUACAAUCGUUUGUAUCAAAUUACACGAAUAACAAGUUAGAAACGACUAAAAUCAGUUACAGACGAGUAUAACAUGUUAGUUGUGUAACACAGGGUAUACACAGAAUAGGUUUAAUAUUUUGCAACUGAUUAUCACCAUAUGUAACACGAUAUAAUCGCAUAUAACUAAUUACACGAAUACUAAUUAUAAUCGUCAAUAACUAGUUAUAAUCACCGACAAAAUACCAUUUGGAUCCGACCACCUUUGCCUAGUGGAUCUUGGCAGCUUACCUAGGACCUGGCUAUGCCCCUCGCCAUAAGACUCCCUUCUCACGGUAAGAAUGUUUGGGAGUCAUAAUUAUCAGCAAAUAACCAAACCAAUUACCACCACGUUACAAUGUCGGCAUGCAUUGCAAUUUGCAAGAUGUUGAUUGAUUUAGCUUAACUGUAAAAGACAGCGCAGCAUUAAUUAUCAUUCACGACUUAAUGAGCCCAACUCCAUUUCUUAGAGGGCAACAAAGCCAAGUCUCUUAUCUGCACCAAAUUUCCCAACUUUCCAACUAAUGGAGCAUUGAUUCCUCAACCAAUUCCAAUUUAACUCCCCACAGCGCAGCAUUACUAUAAAAAUAGGCAACGCUAUCUCUCCUUUCCAAACCACACUCCUACCGAAAGCAUAUCAGUCUAAUUAGCCUAAAAUGGAACUCAGCCACUUCCUACUUGUGCUUAUUGUGGCUCUAGCGGCUGCUAUAUCACUGACCACCGUUCCUUCCGAGGCUGCUGAGUUCGUCGAAGAGAAGCCCUUUUUCAAGAAGAAGCUGCCCAAGUUUGAUUAUCCUAAGCCAUACCAUUACCACCACCCACUCUUCAAGAAGCCGGUCGAUCCUUUCCACCACAAGCCGCUGAUUAAGCCGCUGCCCAAGAAGGUUUACCCCAAGUUCAAGUACCCUAAGUAUGGCCACUAUCACCCUGGACACCCUCCUGUCGAGAAACCCUGAUUAGUUGAUCAUCAAUCAAUCGUCAUAUUAUAUAUAUGAAUAUUGUUGGAGUGUAUGAAAUAAGUCGUUACACCGUCAUGUGUAUCAUGGUGUUUUUUUAUAUAUGUAUCAUCUUUCUAGCUGAUCGAUGCGUUUGAGAGUUGGCGUGUAGCCUGAAUACUGUGUGGCAUGUAUCAAUUUCCUGACUAUGGCAGGAUUGUAAGUUCAAUCAAAGUAUGUUUCUAUUUCCGCCACACUAUGAGUCUACUAUGCCUAGACUGUAGAGUACAUUCUUCUUGUGGGGAAUUUAAAGCCCAUAUUAUUGGAGUCCACAAUGAAAGCCCGUUGGUGACAAGUCCAUCGAGUCUUGAAAAAGUGAUGAUAGC
rnacentral:lncRNA from 1 species